AUGAAAACAAGGGAAGCAAGUCCUUUCAUGCCUCUGAAUCUUCCAGAAGACUCAGAAACCGGCAACAGUGAGCAUCUUUGAAGACAGUUUUCCAGAUCCUUUGACCAAAGAAGAAUGGUUCCUUGGACUACAGCCUGGAUCUGCUGGACAGCUUUCUACUGCUUCAGACACGCUAUUCCACAGCAGACCCGGGACUCUGCAGUGCAUGGGAGGGAUGUAGUGACUGUCACCACAGGAGCUGAGAAAGAAGAGGAGGACAAAGGCAUAUUUAGGACAUGCCAUAAGGAAAACUGAACAGCAGGGCUUGUAAAGAAUUAAAGGAUAAAAUAACAAGAGUAGCACAGUGGAGAGAACGUUGUACAACUUUGUCAAUAUGGAUGAUUUCCAAUCAAGCACUGGCUAUAGAUUUCUUGUUGUGAUUUUAAAACUCUCUCAUGAAACUUAGUAUGUUACACACUUUUUGUACUCUGUAACCUGUCUUGGA